UACAGAGGGGGCAAGCGUUGUUCGGAAUUACUGGGCGUAAAGGGCGCGUAGGCGGCCUGUUAAGUCGAACGUGAAAUCCCCGGGCUCAACCCGGGAACUGCGUCCGAUACUGGCAGGCUUGAAUCCGGGAGAGGGAUGCGGAAUUCCAGGUGUAGCGGUGAAAUGCGCAGAUAUCAGGAGGAACACCGGUGGCGAAGGCGGGUCUCUGGGCAAGCAACGUGACGCUGGAGGAGCGAAAGCGUGGGGAGCGAACAGGA
rnacentral:rRNA from 1 species